rnacentral:lncRNA from 1 species
CAAUAUUUCUCUGAAUUUCUUCCAGAUUUUUUUCCCCCCAAGCUUUGCUUCUUUAUUUGUGAGCAGGUAAGGAGUGCAUAGAUACAUUUGUGGUCCUCAGGUUGUAUGUUAAUAUUCUUUAACCAUCCUAAAGUUCACCAAUUUCAUGCUGUAUUAUCCCAGAGCAGCCUCUUGUUAAGCAAGUUUCAGGAUUUUAUGGCUUUCCUGCUCAUGGUAUUUUUUUUAAGAGGCAUUAAAAAGUUUUUUUUCUGUUCUCUAGCACUGCCCUGGAGAACUGACAUUCCCACCAGGAGCAAUCUUUCAGCAGGAAACAUUUGGGCACAUCUUUUGUGCCCCUCAGCUUUUCUAGGUAGGAGAGCGAUGGAGGAAUCAAGUCCGUGGGCAGGUCCACACCUUUGCAGUCACACUAAAAGGAUGAACUGGAAGCACAAAAAGAGAAAUAAAGACAGUGUAAGAAAUGUUGUCUGACAGGGAAAUUCCUGUCCCAUGAACAUGGAGUUAUGUAAAAGAAACCCCAAACUAAGCCUUAUUUCAGUACAAUAAAAUCAGCCAUGUGGUCA